rnacentral:rRNA from 1 species
GAAAUCUCACGGCUUAACUGUGAGCGUGCGGGCGAUACGGGCAGACUUGAGUACUGCAGGGGAGACUGGAAUUCCUGGUGUAGCGGUGGAAUGCGCAGAUAUCAGGAGGAACACCGGUGGCGAAGGCGGGUCUCUGGGCAGUAACUGACGCUGAGGAGCGAAAGCGUGGGGAGCGAACGGGAUUAGAUACCCUGGUAGUCCACGCCGUAAACGGUGGGUACUAGGUGUGGGUUUCCUUCCUUGGGAUCCGUGCCGUAGCUAACGCAUUAAGUACCCCGCCUGGGGAGUACGGCCGCAAGGCUAAAACUCUAAGAAAUUGACGGGGGCCCGCACAAGCGGCGGAGCAUGUGGAUUAAUUCGAUUGCAACGCGAAGAACCUUACCUGGGUUUGACAUGCACAGGACGCCGGCAGAGAUGUCGGUUCCCUUGUGGCCUGUGUGCAGGUGGUGCAUGGCUGUCGUCAGCUCGUGUCGUGAGAUGUUGGGUUAAGUCCCGCAACGAGCGCAACCCUUGUCUCAUGUUGCCAGCGGGUAAUGCCGGGGACUCGUGAGAGACUGCCGGGGUCAACUCGGAGGAAGGUGGGGAUGACGUCAAGUCAUCAUGCCCCUUAUGUCCAGGGCUUCACACAUGCUACAAUGGCCGGUACAAAGGGCUGCGAUGCCGCGAGGUUAAGCGAAUCCUUUUAAAGCCGGUCUCAGUUCGGA